rnacentral:rRNA from 1 species
UACGUAGGGUGCGAGCGUUGUCCGGAAUUAUUGGGCGUAAAGAGCUCGUAGGCGGUGUGUCACGUCGGCCGUGAAAACCUGGGGCUUAACUCUGGGCGUGCGGUCGAUACGGGCAUCACUAGAGUUCGGCAGGGGAGACUGGAAUUCCUGGUGUAGCGGUGAAAUGCGCAGAUAUCAGGAGGAACACCGGUGGCGAAAGGCGGGGUCUCUGGGGCCGAUACUGACGC